GCGUGCUUAACACAUGCAAGUCGAACGAUGAUCUCCCAGCUUGCUGGGGGUGAUUAGUGGCGAACGGGUGAGUAAUACGUGAGUAACCUGCCCUUGACUAUGGGAUAAGCCUGGGAAACCGGGUCUAAUACUGGAUACGACCUCCUGUCGCAUGGUGGGGGGUGGAAAGGGUUCUACUGGUUUUGGAUGGGCUCACGGCCUAUCAGCUUGUUGGUGGGGUAAUGGCUCACCAAGGCGACGACGGGUAGCCGGCCUGAGAGGGUGACCGGCCACACUGGGACUGAGACACGGCCCAGACUCCUACGGGAGGCAGCAGUGGGGAAUAUUGCACAAUGGGCGCAAGCCUGAUGCAGCGACGCCGCGUGAGGGAUGACGGCCUUCGGGUUGUAAACCUCUUUCAGUAGGGAAGAAGCGAAAGUGACGGUACCUGCAGAAGAAGCGCCGGCUAACUACGUGCCAGCAGCCGCGGUAAUACGUAGGGCGCAAGCGUUGUCCGGAAUUAUUGGGCGUAAAGAGCUCGUAGGCGGUCUGUCGCGUCUGCUGUGAAAGCCCGGGGCUCAACCCCGGGUCUGCAGUGGGUACGGGCAGACUAGAGUGCAGUAGGGGAGACUGGAAUUCCUGGUGUAGCGGUGAAAUGCGCAGAUAUCAGGAGGAACACCGAUGGCGAAGGCAGGUCUCUGGGCUGUUACUGACGCUGAGGAGCGAAAGCAUGGGGAGCGAACAGGAUUAGAUACCCUGGUAGUCCAUGCCGUAAACGUUGGGCACUAGGUGUGGGGGACAUUCCACGUUCUCCGCGCCGUAGCUAACGCAUUAAGUGCCCCGCCUGGGGAGUACGGCCGCAAGGCUAAAACUCAAAGGAAUUGACGGGGGCCCGCACAAGCGGCGGAGCAUGCGGAUUAAUUCGAUGCAACGCGAAGAACCUUACCAAGGCUUGACAUUCACCGGACCGCCCCAGAGAUGGGGUUUCCCU
rnacentral:rRNA from 1 species